rnacentral:rRNA from 1 species
UACAGAGGGUGCGAGCGUUAAUCGGAAUUACUGGGCGUAAAGCGCACGUAGGUGGCGACGUAAGUCGGGUGUGAAAGCCCCGGGCUCAACCUGGGAAUUGCAUUCGAGACUGCAUUGCUGGAGUACGGAAGAGGAGGGCGGAAUUCCCGGUGUAGCGGUUAAAUGCGUAGAUAUCGGGAGGAACAUCAGUGGCGAAGGCGGCCCUCUGGUCCAGUACUGACACUCAAGUGCGAAAGCGUGGGGAGCAAACAGG